rfam:TPA: Bos taurus chromosome 18, whole genome shotgun sequence.
CCUGGUAGCUCAGAUGGUAAAGCGUCUGCCUACAAUGCAGGAGACCCAGGUUCAAUCCCUGGGUCAGGA